UAUUGGCCGACUGAGCUAUGAUGAUCAAGACAAGGCCUUUUAUUUUUAAGGACUGAACAGACCUGUGUAUAUCUGUAGACACUGGAAGGAGCCAGUCACUGAGGGAGAGACUGAAAAUUUGUGAUGGAGGUGACUGCUACUAUUAUACCUGAGUUUGGGGAACAUAGCUUUGACCAUAUCACUCUCCUUCUCUAAAGUCUAAAGUCCUCAACCUGGAACUCAAGGCUUUCUACAAUUUGGUGUCUAUGGAAAUGAGUCUCUUAGGUCUCUGCAAUAGCUUUGGGCACUUCUGGUGUCCAGCUUCAAGAGAGAAGAUGGAUGGUUUCAACUCCACUUCAGACUCCCAAAAGGAGAACAAGAUGAGAAGAAGCCAACAGGAGAGGAGCUAGCGGUUCCUAUCAUGUCCCUGUUCUCAGCUUGUUACACUAGAGACUUUGGGGAACUUUCCCCUUUGAUUGAGUUCUGGGAUUCUCUCUGUCUUGGUUGAGCUGUUACCUUGUCUCUGAUGAGGGAGGAACUCCUUCCUUAGAUUGUAAGCUCCUUGAGGGCAAGGAUUGUCUUUUGUCUCUUUUUGUAUUUUUAACACUUAGCACAGU